AAUAAAUAUUUAAGUUGUAAUAUGGAGGCAGAAGAAGGGGGACACCAAAAAGAAACCAUGGAAGGAAAUUGAAUGAAACCCUCUGUUUUCCACUGUGUGCAUCUGUGAGAGAGUGAUUAGCCACCAUUUUGUCUUGGACUCUAGGACUGUGAGUUGGAGAGGAACCAAGAGCUGUGAAGUGACGUUUGGUGCAACAAGAGGAGUGAAGUCAUUUUCAGUCAUCGCUUGGGAACCUUAGAAGUCUUGAAACUUUUGGAAAUUUGAGGUAAGGGGUGUAACUUUGGAUUAUAAAAUGGUAUAUGAUGGGUGGGUGUUAUUGUUAAAUAUUAAUGCUUAUAUGUUCCUUGAACACUUGUGUUUCUAUAUGUGUUUGGUGGGUGUUAUUAUUUACCUUGCAUGUUUCAAAAAUUUGGGGUUGUUGUAAAUAGAUACAUUGUUUGGUUUCAUUUUGGAUGUUGAGAAUAUAUGGUUAUUCACUUUCUUAUGAUAAAAACAUUGUCUGAAAUGACUUAUUUUCCCUCGUUUAAUUUGUAAAUGGUAAACUUGGGGCACAUUCAUACACUCCCUAAUAAAGAGUGUGGUGGUGUGAGGUUUGAGAGUUCCUUUUCCUUGUAUGGAAGAGAAGGGUGAGAGAGUUGGAACCAAGAAAAAAAUGAUAACAGUGAUACCUUAGGUUUGGUUGGAAUAAAAAGAGAGAGUUGGGUUUUGGGGUCUCACGUAAGAUGGGUACUGGUGCAUGGGGUUGCAUGAGAAAAAUGGGGUUUGGGUUGUUGUAGUGAAAAGAGAUUAGAAGAAAAUAGGGGUAGAAGAUUGACAUAAGUGAGGGUGAGAAAAGUGAGAGUUAAAGUGGGCAUUGAAAAGUCAAAGGGAAGUAAGGAGUGAAUUUAGAAGUGUGUAUGAGGAAGGUGCAUGCAUGGGAAUAUAUGUAAAUUGUAGUGAGUGAAGAGUAUAGG
rnacentral:lncRNA from 1 species